ACACGGGGGGAGCAAGCGUUGUUCGGAAUCAUUGGGCGUAAAGAGCUCGUAGGCGGCUCCGUAAGUCAGGUGUGAAAUCCAAUGGCUCAACCAUUGUCACGCAUCUGAAACUACGGAACUUGAGUUCAGGAGAGGAAAGCGGAAUUCCAGGUGUAGCGGUGAAAUGCGUAGAUAUCUGGAGGAACACCGGUGGCGAAGGCGGCUUUCUGGCCUGAUACUGACGCUGAGGAGCGAAAGCUAGGGGAGCGAACGGGAUUAGAAACCCCGGUAGUCC
rnacentral:rRNA from 1 species